UACGUAGGGUGCAAGCGUUGUCCGGAAUUAUUGGGCGUAAAGAGCUCGUAGGCGGUCUGUCGCGUCGGCUGUGAAAUCCCGAGGCUCAACCUCGGGCCUGCAGUCGAUACGGGCAAACUGGAGUGUUGCAGGGGAGACUGGAAUUCCUGGUGUAGCGGUGAAAUGCGCAGAUAUCAGGAGGAACACCGGUGGCGAAGGCGGGUCUCUGGGCCGAUACUGACGCUGAGGAGCGAAAGCGUGGGGAGCGAACAGG
rnacentral:rRNA from 1 species